AAAUGAAAACUCAUAGAUAUCUUUAAACUAAUUGGAUACCUUAUAAAGAUUAUAGCAAAUGGGUGUGGUAUUUUUAUGUGGCAACAUAAUAAUUUUAGCCAUCAAACUAGCACUAUUCUACAGUAAUGUUGAAGGUGGAUGAAGUAUAUUGAACGAGUUUAUGUUGCACAGAAUACAAAAAGUGGAAGGCUGAAUAAAAAACAAGCUCCUGUUCAAGUGACCUCACUGCUUUCUGAUGACCCCCACUGGCUAUGCCACAUUUCUGGUGCUGAAUGGAUGCACAACACGUCCGUACUCAUCUGGGCUUCGAUGCAGUUGUUCAAUUUGAAAAGUAAAGCAGUACUUUAAUGGUCCCUUCAGUUCUCACACUCAGUGUUUCAAUAUUUGUCCUGUUCUACCUGGCUUGUAAUCAAUCCUAAAACUUCCUCACAUUUCCAGAUGAUGGAAUGAACAAUCCUGCGUAUGGCUUCAAAACUGAAAACUCAGAACUUAAGGCUCUGGUCUGAAGUGGCCACAGUUCAUCUCUGGCCUUGACAAGCCAUUUGUUGGCCGUGGAACUCAUUACUUGAAAGAGAUUUGCUACAGCUCCUGUUAUGGUGCCUUUAGAAGAAAUAAAGAUCUCCUGCCUCACUUCCAA
rnacentral:lncRNA from 1 species